rnacentral:rRNA from 1 species
AUUGAACGCUGGCGGUAGGCCUAACACAUGCAAGUCGAACGCGAAAGUCCUUCGGGAUGAGUAGAGUGGCGGACGGGUGAGUAACGCGUAGGAAUCUAUCCUGUAGUGGGGGAUAACGUUUCGAAAGGAACGCUAAUACCGCAUACGCCCCAAGGGGGAAAGCGGGGGAUCUUCGGACCUCGUGCUAUAGGAGGAGCCUGCGUCGGAUUAGCUAGUUGGUGAGGUAAAGGCUCACCAAGGCGACGAUCCGUAGCUGGUCUGAGAGGAUGAUCAGCCACACCGGAACUGAGACACGGUCCGGACUCCUACGGGAGGCAGCAGUGGGGAAUAUUGCGCAAUGGGCGAAAGCCUGACGCAGCCAUACCGCGUGUGUGAAGAAGGCCUUCGGGUUGUAAAGCACUUUCAGUGGGGAGGAAAGUACCGGUUGGUUAAUACCUGAUCGGGAUGACGGUACCAAAAGAAUAAGACACCGGCUAACUUCGUG